AGAUGAAACGGAAAUACUCACUUGACCGCUGAACGUACAACACAUCGGACGUGGUUUUACUUUACAGAGAUAUAAAACUCAGGCCGCCGACGAGUACAGUAUAGUAAAUAAAAGAAGAACUUCAAGCAGACGACAGAGGAGGAAAAUUUGAUACCAGAGACUAGCAAGAUCAACGAGGCUUAACAAUGGCGAAUAAGAACCGGAAACGAACUUUUUUCGAUGGAGAUACUGAACAUGGUCUGGUCAAAAGGAUCAUGUA
rnacentral:lncRNA from 1 species